AUUGAACGCUGGCGGAAUGCUUUACACAUGCAAGUCGAACGGCAGCACGGGGGCAACCCUGGUGGCGAGUGGCGAACGGGUGAGUAAUAUAUCGGAACGUGCCCAGUCGUGGGGGAUAACGUAGUGAAAAUUACGCUAAUACCGCAUACGAUCUAUGGAUGAAAGCGGGGGAUCGCAAGACCUCGCGCGAUUGGAGCGGCCGAUAUCAGAUUAGGUAGUUGGUGGGGUAAAGGCCCACCAAGCCAACGAUCUGUAGCUGGUCUGAGAGGACGACCAGGCACACUGGAACUGAGACACGGUCCAGACUCCUACGGGAGGCAGCAGUGGGGAAUUUUGGACAAUGGGCGAAAGCCUGAUCCAGCCAUUCCGCGUGCAGGAUGAAGGCCCUCGGGUUGUAAACUGCUUUUGUACAGAACGAAAAGGUUUCUACUAAUACUAGGAGCUCAUGACGGUACUGUAAGAAUAAGCACCGGCUAACUACGUGCCAGCAGCCGCCGUAA
rnacentral:rRNA from 1 species